rnacentral:rRNA from 1 species
AGAGUUUGAUCCUGGCUCAGGACGAACGCUGGCGGCGUGCCUAAUACAUGCAAGUCGAACGAGAGCGACCGGUGCUUGCACUGGUCAAUCUAGUGGCGAACGGGUGAGUAACACGUGGGUAACCUGCCCAUCAGAGGGGGAUAACAUUCGGAAACGGAUGCUAAAACCGCAUAGGUCUUCGAACCGCAUGGUUUGAAGAGGAAAAGAGGCGCAAGCUUCUGCUGAUGGAUGGACCCGCGGUGCAUUAGCUAGUUGGUGAGGUAACGGCUCACCAAGGCCGUGAUGCAUAGCCGACCUGAGAGGGUGAUCGGCCACAUUGGGACUGAGACACGGCCCAAACUCCUACGGGAGGCAGCAGUAGGGAAUCUUCCGCAAUGGACGCAAGUCUGACGGAGCAACGCCGCGUGAGUGAAGAAGGUUUUCGGAUCGUAAAACUCUGUUGUUAGAGAAGAACAAGUGCUAGAGUAACUGUUAGCACCUUGACGGUAUCUAACCAGAAAGCCACGGCUAACUACGUGCCAGCAGCCGCGGUAAUACGUAGGUGGCAAGCGUUGUCCGGAUUUAUUGGGCGUAAAGCGAGCGCAGGCGGUUCCUUAAGUCUGAUGUGAAAGCCCCCGGCUCAACCGGGGAGGGUCAUUGGAAACUGGGGAACUUGAGUGCAGAAGAGGAGAGUGGAAUUCCAUGUGUAGCGGUGAAAUGCGUAGAUAUAUGGAGGAACACCAGUGGCGAAGGCGACUCUCUGGUCUGUAACUGACGCUGAGGCUCGAAAGCGUGGGUAGCAAACAGGAUUAGAUACCCUGGUAGUCCACGCCGUAAACG